UGGGAAGUUAUCUUGAUUUGGGGAUGUAGAAUUUGGCUCUCUCUCUCUCUCUGUUUCAAAAUUUCUGUGGCUGAUAGGGUUUUUUCCUUUCUCUUUUUUUUUUCAAUUUUACUGUUGUUUGCUUCCCCUAAAACCUCUCUGUUGCUGCAGAAUUUCCUCAUUGGUUUUUUCUUCUCUCAUUUGAUUUUUUAAUCUAUUCCAAGUUCUUUGGUACUGAUUGUGUCAUUCGAUUUUCUUUUUGUUGUGACUGUAUUCCUCUCCAUCUGUUCUGCUCCUUUUUGGUUUUGUUUUAAUUGUUUUUCCCCACUUGCUUCCGUUAUUCAAAAU
rnacentral:lncRNA from 1 species